AUGCAUGACUGUUGUAGAUGCUCUCUCACUGGUAGGGAGUAAAGUCAUGCAGCCAUGCUAGAUUAACAUGUUUUGAGUCAUCAGGGCCACCAGUCUGUCAAGAACAGACUGUGUUGGUAGUAUAUAACUCACACAUUC
ensembl:snoRNA